UUGAACGCUGGCGGCAGGCCUAACACAUGCAAGUCGAACGGUAGCACAGAGAGCUUGCUCUCGGGUGACGAGUGGCGGACGGGUGAGUAAUGUCUGGGAAACUGCCCGAUGGAGGGGGAUAACUACUGGAAACGGUAGCUAAUACCGCAUAAUGUCGCAAGACCAAAGAGGGGGACCUUCGGGCCUCUUGCCAUCGGAUGUGCCCAGAUGGGAUUAGCUUGUUGGUGAGGUAAUGGCUCACCAAGGCGACGAUCCCUAGCUGGUCUGAGAGGAUGACCAGCCACACUGGAACUGAGACACGGUCCAGACUCCUACGGGAGGCAGCAGUGGGGAAUAUUGCACAAUGGGCGCAAGCCUGAUGCAGCCAUGCCGCGUGUGUGAAGAAGGCCUUCGGGUUGUAAAGCACUUUCAGCGGGGAGGAAGGCAAUGCGGUUAAUAACCGUGUUGAUUGACGUUACCCGCAGAAGAAGCACCGGCUAACUCCGUG
rnacentral:rRNA from 1 species